GCGUAAGUACGUGCCAGGGGGCGUGGUAAGACGGUGGUCCCGAGCGUUGUCCGGAUUGAGUGGGCGUAAAGCGAGCGCAGGCGGUUUGAUAAGGCUGAAGUAAAAGGCUGUGGCUUAACCAUAGUAUGCUUUGGAAACUGUCAAACUUGAGUGCAGAAGGGGAGAGUGGAAUUCCAUGUGUAGCGGUGAAAUGCGUAGAUAUAUGGAGGAACACCGGUGGCGAAAGCGGCUCUCUGGUCUGUAACUGACGCUGAGGCUCGAAAGCGUGGGGAGCAAACAGGAUUAGAUACCCGUGUAGUC
rnacentral:rRNA from 1 species